rnacentral:lncRNA from 1 species
CACAGACUGUUCUUCCAGAGGUCCUGAGUUCAAUUCCCAGCAACCACAUGGUGGCUCACAACCAUCUGUAAUGGGAUCUGAUGCUCUCUUCUGGUGUCUGAAGACAGCUACAGUGUACUUGUAUAUGAUAAAUAAAUCUUUUUUUUUUUUUUUCGGAGCUGGGGACCGAACCCAGGGCCUUGCGCUUCCUAGGUAAGCGCUCUACCACUGAGCUAAAUCCCCAGCCCCUAAAUAAAUCUUAAAAAAAAAAAAGAAAUAUAGACUAUGUGAAAUGAUGUUAAAGUCAUAGCUGGGAGCUGGGUGUGGUGAUGCACUGUUAUAACCCCAGCCCUUGGAGAAAGGAGAACAGGAGUUCAAGGGUAUCCUUGGCUACAUAACCAGGUUGAAGCCAGCCUGGGCUACAUGAGACCCUAUCUCAAAACUAACCAACAAACAGAGGAUAGAGGAUAUGGGAGAAUUCUUGCUUACUGUGUAGGAUGCACUGCAGGCAGGGGGAGGGUCCCAACUCUUAUAGCCACAAAUCCAAGCACAGAGAAUCAGACAUAGAGACACCUAACCCAGAAGCAAUAGCUAGAGGACAGGGACAGGAUCAUUC